UACGGAGGGUGCGAGCGUUGUCCGGAAUCAUUGGGCGUAAAGGGCGCGUAGGUGGCGGGACAAGCGUGCGGUGAAAGCCUGGGGCUCAACCCCGGGUCGGCCGUGCGAACUGUUUUGCUUGAGCACUGUAGAGGCAGGCGGAAUUCCGGGUGUAGCGGUGGAAUGCGUAGAGAUCCGGAAGAACACCGGUGGCGAAGGCGGCCUGCUGGGCAGUAGCUGACGCUGAGGAGCGAAAGCGUGGGGAGCGAACAGG
rnacentral:rRNA from 1 species